AGUGAACGCUGGCGGUAGGCCUAACACAUGCAAGUCGAACGGCCGCACAGGAGAGCUUGCUCGCUGGGUGGCGAGUUGCGGACGGGUGAGGAAUACAUCGGAAUCUACCUUUUCGUGGGGGAUAAAGCAGGGAAACUUACGCUACUACCGCAUAGGACCUACGGGUGAAAGUGGGGGAUCGCAAGGCCGCAGGCGAUUAGAUGAGCCGAGGGCAGAUUAGCUAGUUGGCGGGGUAACGGCCCACCAAGGCGACGAUCGGUAGCUGGUCUGAGAGGAUGAUGAGCCACACUGGAACUGAGACACGGUCCAGACUCCUACGGGAGGCAGCAGUGGGGAAUAUUGGACAAUGUGCGCAAGCCUGAUACAGCCAUGCCGCGUGGGUGAAGAAGGCCUUCGGGUUGUGAAGUCCUUUUGUUGGGAAAGAAGGCCUGACGAUUAAUACCCGGUGGGGAUGACGGUACCCAAAGAAUAAGCACCGGCUAACUUCGUGCCAGCCGCCGCCGUAAAAC
rnacentral:rRNA from 1 species